GCUUUCGUAGUGUAGUGGUUAGUACGCUUGAUGCGUAUUCAAGAGGUUCGUGGUUCGAGUCCCGGUGAGAGCA
rfam:Stegodyphus mimosarum contig111091, whole genome shotgun sequence.